CUGUUCUGGAACUUACUGUCAAUGGAUCAUAAAGCACAUGCUCUUUUGUGCAAGAUUUCUUUCUCUCAGCAUGAUGCUUUCAAGACUUGUCCAUGCUGUUGUGAGAAUCAAUGGUUAUUUCCAUAGGAUUUGUUAUUAUUCAGGUAUGGUGAGGCCAACAGGUGAAGAGAUGACUGCCAUUGAAGAGACAGUUUGGCAUACUCACAGAUCCCAAGAGGAGGGGCGUGCCACGCCAUAGGGGGCCACAACAUGGGGGCAGUCAGGAGUCAGUCAGGAGGCAAUGGUGGCUAACUGUGCGGAGAGCCUUUGGUGUGGUUUCUGCAGGAAGGAGCAGGACAAAGGGGAGCUGAUGAAGAACCGUUAUAUGAAGAGGAUCCUGGAGGAAUCUUCUCCACAGUCAAGGAGUGAAAUAAGGAAUGUGAUGACCACCCAAACAGAGAGUCUGUGCUGAUAGCCAUCAUCAAUGACAACUGAAGGAUCAGGAAGGAGUUCAUCACCCAGCCCUCCUGUUGGGCCUCUGGGGCUUCACUUCCUCUGCGCUGACGCUGAUACUGUUUCCACUCAGGCCUCCUGCUGUGAGCAUGACAGCCACAGCUGCCCUGCGGGCAUCCUCUCAGCUUGGAGCUUCCCAAGAAUGAGAAUCCCUUCUUCUGGAGCCCACAGUGUACUUCUCAGUGAUUCUGGUCAGGUCGCUUUUUUCUGGUCCCUUCUGUGGUCAGGGGAAUGCUGUUUUUGGCCACGUAUGAGGCUGCACUAUUGGUAUCAGAAUUGAGGGUGGGUGGUGGUCUCCCAGAGGAAUACGAGAAGCAGGGAGAACGAAUGGGUGCCCAGGCAGAAGGCAAACCUGUCUUCUUUGUCCCUGGCAUCAACUGACCCAUUCAAAACGAGGUGGGUCACUCCGGGUGCAUUUUGUAACUGAUUAUGUAUAUAUUUGCGUUGGCUACUAAGACACUCAGAGCUAAUAUUUUUCUUCCAAUUUUAUUUGGAAUAUAUUCUCAUUGUAAAACAUCUG
rnacentral:lncRNA from 1 species